GUUAAUGAACUUGAAUAAGUUUAUAUUUUGAAAAUAUAAAAAAGAAAUUAUAAUUUUCUAUUAACUUA
rnacentral:tRNA from 1 species